UAUUUGGAAUAAUAGUUGUUUUUUUAUCGUACCUUUGUAUUGUACCUUUUCAACGUAUUAAUUGAAAAGUUACUUAACUGUACUGCUUAUUUGGACAUUUACUAGAAAUCUGUGGAUUAAAUGAUAGCAGGUGUGGGUAUAGAUCAGUAUUUUGGAUUGGUUCAUUUGAUCUCAUGAUGAAGUAACCAUAGCGAUAGGGAGUUACCACGGUAACCAGCAAUGAUGCUGGCCCUGGACGUUAACCUCCUCACCAACAAACUACAGAAGCAAAGCCUUGAGGAGGGGCCGACGGCAACGCCCAAUAUAAAACUGAUCAAUCAUGAAGCCGGGUUUAAGCUCAGCGAGUCGGCACAGGCUAAGCUUGGAGCUGGAGGUAAG